rnacentral:lncRNA from 1 species
GCCAAGCGCCGACGCAGCGCUGUCGGCGGCAGCCCUGACGACCCCGGCGCGCCGGCAGGGCCUGCCCGACCCGCGUGACUACGUGGCGCCCUUCUCCGCGUCUGAGGCGUCCCCGCCCCGAGCUGCGUUCGCCGAGCGCCAGGCGAUCGCCAGUCCGCGUCAGGACGACUACGGCCUGACCAUCCCGAAGAAGCAGGAGAAGCAGCGGCUCGAGUUUCAGGUGCACGGCCAGGAGGGGCCGCACAGCUACCGCUUCGGGUACGACACCGGCACCGGGUACAACCGCCAGUUCCGGUUUGAGGAGAGAGACGGGUACGGAAAUCUGAAGGGGCGAUACGGCUUCUACGAUAAGUCUGGCAAGCUGCAAGUUGUGAACUAUUCUGCUUCCCCGAAGGGAGGAUUUCAUGCGGAGGGCAAUUUCGGAAAGUUUCCUGAAGCCGGUCAUUAGAUAAGCUUUCUACAGAAACACCCGCGAACACGAGCCCCGGCUCGCCAGCGGCAGCCGUCAGUCGGCGGCGGCGCCGGAGCUCGGCCGUCACGCCCGCUCCGCUCGCCUGGACUAGACGGCCGCCCGGUCCACGAGCGCCAGCUGCGCACGUGACAUACUUCGGACGGCGCCGUACCCGACACCACCUCAG